UACGUAGGCAGCGAGCGUUGUUCGGAAUUACUGGGCGUAAAGAGUGUGUAGGCGGUGCUCUAAGUUCGGUGUGAAAUCUCCCGGCUUAACUGGGAGGGUGCGCCGGAAACUGGAGUGCUCGAGCGUGGGAGAGGAAAGCGGAAUUCCUGGUGUAGCGGUGAAAUGCGUAGAUAUCAGGAGGAACACCGGUGGUGUAGACGGCUUUCUGGACCGUAACUGACGCUGAGACACGAAAGCGUGGGUAGCAAACAGG
rnacentral:rRNA from 1 species